UACGAAGGGGGCGAGCGUUGUUCGGAAUUACUGGGCUUAAAGGGUAUGUAGGCGGCGCUGUUAGUCGGGUGUGAAAUCCCACGGCUCAACCGUGGAAUUGCGCCCGAUACUGCAGUGCUUGAGGGAGACAGGAGUAAGCGGAACUGAUGGUGGAGCGGUGAAAUGCGUUGAUAUCAUCAGGAACACCGGUGGCGAAAGCGGCUUACUGGGUCUCUUCUGACGCUGAGAUACGAAAGCUAGGGGAGCGAAGGGG
rnacentral:rRNA from 1 species